GCAGUGUUGGUUCAGUGGUAGAAUUCUUGCCUUCCAUGCAGGAGAUCCAUGUUCCAGUCCUGGCCAAUGCA
rnacentral:tRNA from 1 species